AGUGCUGUUGCUGGAUCAUAUGGUAAGACUAUGUUUAGCUUUGUAAGAGACUGCUAAACCUUCUUCCAAAGUGGCUGUACCAUUUUGAAGUCCCUCCAGCAAU
rnacentral:pre_miRNA from 1 species